rnacentral:rRNA from 1 species
AAGGGCACCACAAGAACGCGUGGAGCAUGUGGCUUAAUUUGACUCAACGCGGGAAAUCUUACCGGGUCCGGACACACUGAGGAUUGACAGGCAAUAUUAUAAUUUUUUAAUUGAAAUAAAUUUUAUUAUUUAUUUUUUUUAUUUUUUAUAUGUUAAAUAUGCUAGUCCUUUCAUGAUUAUGUGAUAGGUGGUGCAUGGCCGUUCUUAGUUCGUGGAGUGAUCUGUCUGCUUAAUUGCGUUUCACUAUUGGGCUUAUAUAAUUACGUAUGUUGUUAACGCUUUGACCCCUUUCUACGGAUUGUGCGUGUCUUUGUCUCGUUUAACUCAUACAAUUAAGCCCUGAAAGCAACGAACGUGACCGCAACCUCUUGUUGCUCUCAUAUUACCUUAUACUGCAUAAUAUUUGAAUAAUUUAUUUUAUUUUUUUUUAUGUUUAAGAGAGCUUUCUAAACUAGAGGGACCGCUGUUACUUUCUUAAACCAGAGGAAGGUUGCGGCAAUAACAGGUCUGUGAUGCCCUUAGAUGUUCCGGGCUGCACACGUGCUACAAUGAUUAUUGCAGUGAGCAUCUCAUUUUUUACACAUCGCAUGCGCGAGUCCAUUUAUUCAGAUAUCUUUCAUUACUUUCGGGUAAUGCAGUGUUUGCUUUAAAUGUGUAUCUCUGCGCGCGAUAAAGCCUGCUUCGAAAGUAAGUGGGUAAUCAAUUAGAAGUAAUGAUUUCCUUUUUUUUUUCUGCACACAUAUAUAUGGCACUUAUACCCGGGUAACCUUGUUGUUACUUUUGUGCGUAUACGUGAUAAUCUUUNCCGAUUAUACUACCAUAUGUGCAAUUGUCAAUUCAUGGUGGGGACAGACCAUUGUUAAUUGUUGGUCUCGGUCUUAACUAGGAAUGCCUUGUACGGAUCUUUGGUUCAACAAACCAUCCGGAAUACGUCCCUGCCCUUUGUACACACCGCCGUC